rnacentral:rRNA from 1 species
GACGAACGCUGGCGGCGUGCCUAAUACAUGCAAGUCGAACGCUUCUUUCCUCCCGAGUGCUUGCACUCAAUUGGAAAGAGGAGUGGCGGACGGGUGAGUAACACGUGGGUAACCUACCCAUCAGAGGGGGAUAACACUUGGAAACAGGUGCUAAUACCGCAUAACAGUUUAUGCCGCAUGGCAUAAGAGUGAAAGGCGCUUUCGGGUGUCGCUGAUGGAUGGACCCGCGGUGCAUUAGCUAGUUGGUGAGGUAACGGCUCACCAAGGCCACGAUGCAUAGCCGACCUGAGAGGGUGAUCGGCCACACUGGGACUGAGACACGGCCCAGACUCCUACGGGAGGCAGCAGUAGGGAAUCUUCGGCAAUGGACGAAAGUCUGACCGAGCAACGCCGCGUGAGUGAAGAAGGUUUUCGGAUCGUAAAACUCUGUUGUUAGAGAAGAACAAGGACGUUAGUAACUGAACGUCCCCUGACGGUAUCUAACCAGAGAGCCACGGCUAACUACGUG